UACAGAGGGUGCAAGCGUUGUUCGGAAUUAUUGGGCGUAAAGGGCGCGUAGGCGGUGCUGUAAGUCUGUAGUGAAAUCUCUGGGCUCAACUCAGAGUCUGCUAUAGAAACUGCAGUGCUGGAGUGUGGGAGAGGUGAGUGGAAUUCCUGGUGUAGCGGUGAAAUGCGCAGAUAUCAGGAGGAACACCGAUGGCGAAGGCAGUGGGCUGGGCCGGCACUGACGCUGAGGAGCGAAAGCGUGGGGAGCGAACAGG
rnacentral:rRNA from 1 species